rnacentral:tRNA from 1 species
GCCGUAGUAGCUUAGGGGUAGAGCACUCCCUUGGUAAGGGAGAGGUCGUGGGUCCGAUUCCCACCUACGGCACCA